UGCCAGCCGCCGCGGUAAUACGGAGGGGGGUAGCGUUGUUCGGAAUUACUGGGCGUAAAGCGCACGUAGGCGGAUUAGAAAGUUAGAGGUGAAAUCCCGGGGCUCAACCUCGGAACUGCAUUUGAAACUGGAAGUCUUGAGACCAGGAGAGGUUAGCGGAAUACCGAGUGUAGAGGUGAAAUUCGUAGAUAUUCGGUGGAACACCAGUGGCGAAGGCGGCUAACUGGACUGGUACUGACGCUGAGGUGCGAAAGUGUGGGGAGCAAACAGGAUUAGAUA
rnacentral:rRNA from 1 species